UGUCCGAGAACGUGCGGAGGGUGUCGGGGAUUGACAACACAGAGACUCGUUCAACGAUAUAAACUCUCCCAGGGAGCAGCUGCUGGAGGACUAUUAGGUCACAGCCUGGGGCAGAAGCUGCUCCCAGGCUCAGCGUGGACCUUUGGCCUCUUUUCCUGGACUGGGCUCUUUCCUAGAAUGCUCGUGAGGUGUCAGCAUGCUUAAGUACUGCGUGGGGAGAUGACUCGGCAGUUAUGAGCACUUGUUGCUCUUGCAGAAGACCCAGCUUGGUUCCAGGACCGUGCCCAGGCUUAUAACCUUGUGUGACUCCAGUUCCAGGGGAUCCUGCUCCCCCUUCUGGCCUCCUUGGGCACCGGGUGAACAGACUAGCGUGCAGACAAAACACCCUUACUCGCAGCUGUCUCCUAAAAAAGAAAGAAAGAAAGAAAGAAAGAAAGAAAGAAAGAAAGAAAGAAAGAAAGAAAAUAUUCCAAAUGACCUAUAACAGCAGUCUAAACCAUUUGAAAGUCCUGCUUGGCAUGAAUAAUAAAUAAUAAUAAAUGGC